rnacentral:rRNA from 1 species
GACGAACGCUGGCGGCGUGCUUAACACAUGCAAGUCGAACGGAAAGGCCCUGCUUUUGUGGGGUGCUCGAGUGGCGAACGGGUGAGUAACACGUGAGUAACCUGCCCUUGACUUUGGGAUAACUUCAGGAAACUGGGGCUAAUACCGGAUAGGAGCUCCUGCUGCAUGGUGGGGGUUGGAAAGUUUCGGCGGUUGGGGAUGGACUCGCGGCUUAUCAGCUUGUUGGUGGGGUAGUGGCUUACCAAGGCUUUGACGGGUAGCCGGCCUGAGAGGGUGACCGGCCACAUUGGGACUGAGAUACGGCCCAGACUCCUACGGGAGGCAGAAGUGGGGAAUAUUGCACAAUGGGCGGAAGCCUGAUGCAGAAACGCCGCGUGCGGGAUGACGGCCUUCGGGUUGUAAACCGCUUUAGCCUGUGACGAAGCGUGAGUGACGGUAAUGGGUAAAGAAGCACCGGCUAACUACGUG